rnacentral:tRNA from 1 species
GAGCCUCUGGUGAAAUAAUCACGCUGCCUUGUCAAGGCCGAUUUGUGGGUUAAACCCCCACCUGGCUUU